CAGCCCAGGCGGGCGUGCGGCCCAGCCCAUGUGCGGGCCCACACGCGGGUGUGGCCCAGGCCUGCACGUGCAGGCAGGCCCAGGCCCAGGCGCCUUGCCUGGGCCUAUACCCUGGUCCACCGUGGAUCAGGCGGUCCACAGCUGGGCCUGCGGACUACGUGGACAUUUUUCACAUGUUUCAUGUGGUCUAGGCACUAUUUCAUAGACUGGA
rnacentral:lncRNA from 1 species